UAACGCGUGGGCAACCUGCCUCAUACAGGGGGAUAGCAUCGGGAAACUGGUGGUAAAACCGCAUAAGCGCACGAAGACGCAUGUAUUCGUGUGAAAAGGAGAAAUCUGGUAUGAGAUGGACCCGCGUCUGAUUAGCUAGUUGGAGUGGUAAAAGCACACCAAGGCGACGAUCAGUAGUCGGCCUGAGAGGGCGACCGGCCACAUUGGGACUGAGACACGGCCCAGACUCCUACGGGAGGCAGCAG
rnacentral:rRNA from 1 species